GGUCAUCAUCAACUUCUUCAAUAGAUUUUCUGCUGUUCUGAUCCCCAAAGGUAACCAGGGUAACAUCAAAAACAGAACUCUCACUGCAGCGCUCUACAAGAAAAACAAGGCGAAAGUAAAGAAAUGAUGGUUUGACUAUCCGAGUUAAAAGUCAAGAAACUCAGCAUGAUGAACACAUUGGCUUCCGAAUAUUAUGUUAUUGACUCCAGAAGCUCGGGUUGGGAGAGGAAGGUGUCAGCACUAGAAGAGAGAAUCAGCAAAAUAUAACAUAAAAUUAUUUUUAAACAUGAGACAUUGUACAUGCAAUUACAUCAGAAAUGCUGGUCUAUAUGUAUCUACAUCUGUAAUGUGAGAAAAUGGCAUCUGGGUAAUAAUGUCACACCUAGAACACUGAUAUAAUAAAAUUUCAGUUUAAAGGGUGUUACCUCCAA